rnacentral:rRNA from 1 species
GAUGAACGCUGGCGGCGUGCCUAAUACAUGCAAGUCGAGCGAACAGACGAGAGUGCUUGCACUCUCUGACGUUAGCGGCGGACGGGUGAGUAACACGUGGGUAACCUACCUAUAAGACUGGGAUAACUUCGGGAAACCGGAGCUAAUGCCGGAUAAUAUUUAGCUUCGCAUGAAGCAAUAGUGAAAGACGGUUCUGCUGUCACUUAUAGAUGGACCCGCGGUGUAUUAGCUAGUUGGUGAGGUAACGGCUCACCAAGGCAACGAUACAUAGCCGACCUGAGAGGGUGAUCGGCCACACUGGGACUGAGACACGGCCCAGACUCCUACGGGAGGCAGCAGUAGGGAAUCUUCCGCAAUGGACGAAAGUCUGACGGAGCAAUGCCGCGUGAGUGAAGAAGGUUUUCGGAUCGUAAAACUCUGUUGUAAGGGAAGAACAAGUACGUUAGUAACUGAACGUACCUUGACGGUACCUUACCAGAAAGCCACGGCUAACUACGUG